rnacentral:rRNA from 1 species
GCGACCCCAGGUCAGGCGGGACCCC